rnacentral:lncRNA from 1 species
CAAGGUUCUGUGCUGGGAGGAACAAAUUUAGCCAGGUUUAGGCUCCCUGCUUAGUUUUGAGUGGCUUACAGGGACUUCAGGUUUGGGAGAAUUCUGGACUGAGGAAUGUUCUGCAGGUGCCAGAGCUCCAUGAUUUCCAUCAGAAGCUUGUCAUUCCGUGCAGUAGAGGUUCUGUCAUGUGAUAUUACUCCACGCAGAGGGAAGCCAGAGCAGCUUUACACCACUGGUAAGCAGUCAGAGGAUUUGCUUUGGUCAUAAAUGCAGUUUCACAUCGUGCAUCUCUCCUCUCUCUCUCCCAUGUUGAACAUGGCAUUUCAACAGCUGAAAAUUCAG